UAGACAAUGGGGGCAACCCUGAUCUAGCCAUGCCGCGUGAGUGAUGAAGGCCCUAGGGUUGUAAAGCUCUUUCAGGUGUGAGGAUGAUGACAGUAGCACCAGAAGAAGCCCCGGCUAACUUCGUGCCAGCAGCCGCGGUAAUACGAAGGGACCUAGCGUAGUUCGGAAUUACUGGGCUUAAAGAGUUCGUAGGUGGUUGAAAAAGUUGGUGGUGAAAUCCCAGAGCUUAACUCUGGAACUGCCAUCAAAACUUUUCAGCUAGAGUUUGAUAGAGGAAAGCAGAAUUUCUAGUGUAGAGGUGAAAUUCGUAGAUAUUAGGAGGAACACCAGUGGCGAAAGCGGCUCUCUGGACGGUGACUGACGCUGAGGCACGAAAGCAUAGG
rnacentral:rRNA from 1 species